GGCCCAUUGGCUCAGUUGGCUAGAGUGUCAUGUUAAUUAUGCGAAGGCGCAAUUUCGAGACCUGCAUGGGCCA